GUCCAGGGUAGCCUAAUGGUCAUGGCAUCUGCCCGGUACGUGGAAGGUCGUGGGUUUGAUUCCCAUCCUUGACA
rnacentral:tRNA from 1 species